UUUCCCUCAGGAUAGCUGGAGCCCAUUACGAGUUCUAUCAGGUAAAGCCAAUGAUUAGAGGCAUUGGGGACGCAACGUCCUCGACCUAUUCUCAAACUUUAAAUAGGUAGGAUGGCGCGGCUGCUUCGGUGAGCCGUGCCAUGGAAUCGGGUGCUCCAAGUGGGCCAUUUUUGGUAAGCAGAACUGGCGAUGCGGGAUGAACCG
rnacentral:rRNA from 1 species